rnacentral:rRNA from 1 species
GAUGAACGCUGGCGGCGUGCCUAAUACAUGCAAGUCGAGCGAACAGAUAAGGAGCUUGCUCCUUUGACGUUAGCGGCGGACGGGUGAGUAACACGUGGGUAACCUACCUAUAAGACUGGGAUAACUUCGGGAAACCGGAGCUAAUACCGGAUAAUAUUUCGAACCGCAUGGUUCGAUAGUGAAAGAUGGUUUUGCUAUCACUUAUAGAUGGACCCGCGCCGUAUUAGCUAGUUGGUAAGGUAACGGCUUACCAAGGCGACGAUACGUAGCCGACCUGAGAGGGUGAUCGGCCACACUGGAACUGAGACACGGUCCAGACUCCUACGGGAGGCAGCAGUAGGGAAUCUUCCGCAAUGGGCGAAAGCCUGACGGAGCAACGCCGCGUGAGUGAUGAAGGUCUUCGGAUCGUAAAACUCUGUUAUUAGGGAAGAACAUACGUGUAAGUAACUGUGCACGUCUUGACGGUACCUAAUCAGAAAGCCACGGCUAACUGCGUG